rnacentral:rRNA from 1 species
GUCUAGCCUGCUCACUGAUAUGAUAUUAAAUAGCCGCGGUAUCUUGACCGUGCAAAGGUAGCAUAAUCAUUAGUUUUUUAAUUGGAAACUGGUAUGAAUGGUUGGACGAGGAAUGAACUGUCUCUUUUAUUAAUUUUGAAUUUAACUUUUAAGUGAAAAGGCUUAAAUCUUUCAGAGGGACGAUAAGACCCUAUAAAGCUUUAUAAGUUUAAAGAUUUUGUAUAUUUUAUUAUAGCUAUAAUUUCUUGAAUACUUAUUUAAUUGGGGCGAUAACAGUAUAAUUAUAGUAACUGCUUGUAAGUAAUACAAAAAUACUUGAAUUGAAAUUAUAAUUGAUCCUUUAUAAAGAUUUUAAGAUCAAGUUACUUUAGGGAUAACAGCGUUAUUUUUCUUGAGAGUCCAUAUCGAAGGAAAAGUUUGCGACCUCGAUGUUGAAUUAAAAUGUCUAUAUAGUGCAGCAGCUAUAUAAGAAGGUCUGUUCGACCUUUAAUUUUUUACAUGAUUUGAGUUCAGACCGGCGAGAGCCAGGUCGGUUUCUAUCUUUUGAAAUGAGGGAAUCUACCUUAGUACGAAAGGAUUAGGUGGGUAAAAAUGUUUUAGAAUUAGAAAU